UCCUUUUCAGAACAGACUGGUGGCCACAUCACCCUCUACGGGCACCAGUCCAUGUCCCACAGUUUGGGAACCUGCUCCGCAGAACAGCCGCCUGGUAACAAGCUCUGGCCUGGUGCUGAAACCCUCUAACAGGGGAGAACGCUGAGACAAGACUUUGGUUAAGAAGAGCCUAGACGCAACAGGAAGGACGGACAAAGGCAGAGGCAGCAGCAGCAGUAAACGCUGCUUAUGGGAGAGGACGGAGAGGACAGAUGUGCCCCGGGCUGUUCUUUCAAGGACACUUGGAACUACUAA